rnacentral:rRNA from 1 species
UACGUAGGGUGCAAGCGUUGUCCGGAAUUAUUGGGCGUAAAGGGUGCGUAGGCGGGUCUUUAAGUCAGGGGGGAAAUCCUGGAGCUCAACUCCAGAACUGCCUUUGAUACUGAAGAUCUUGAGUUCGGGAGAGGUGAGUGGAACUGCGAGUGUAGAGGUGAAAUUCGUAGAUAUUCGCAAGAACAUCAGUGGCGAAGGCGGCUCACUGGCCCGAUACUGACGCUGAGGCACGAAAGCGUGGGGAGCAAACAGG